rnacentral:rRNA from 1 species
UACGUAGGGUGCGAGCGUUGUCCGGAUUUAUUGGGCGUAAAGAGCUCGUAGGCGGCUUGUUGCGUCGACUGUGAAAACCCGCGGCUUAACCGCGGGCUUGCAGUUGAUACGGGCAGGCUAGAGUUCGGUAGGGGAGACUGGAAUUCCUGGUGUAGCGGUGAAAUGCGCAGAUAUCAGGAGGAACACCGGUGGCGAAGGCGGGUCUCUGGGCCGAUACUGACGCUGAGGAGCGAAAGCGUGGGGAGCGAACAGG